rnacentral:tRNA from 1 species
GCCUGGGUGGCUCAGUGGUUGAGCAUCUGCCUUUGGCUUAGGGCGAUAUCCCAGUUGAGGGAUCAAGUCCCACAUCAGGCU